rnacentral:rRNA from 1 species
GACGAACGCUGGCGGCGUGCUUAACACAUGCAAGUCGAACGGAAAGGCCCUGCUUUUGUGGGGUGCUCGAGUGGCGAACGGGUGAGUAACACGUGAGUAACCUGCCCUUGACUUUGGGAUAACUUCAGGAAGCUGGGGCUAAUACCGGAUAGGAGCUCCUGCUGCAUGGUGGGGGUUGGAAAGUUUCGGCGGUUGGGGAUGGACUCGCGGCUUAUCAGCUUGUUGGUGGGGUAGUGGCUUACCAAGGCUUUGACGGGUAGCCGGCCUGAGAGGGUGACCGGCCACAUUGGGACUGAGAUACGGCCCAGACUCCUACGGGAGGCAGCAGUGGGGAAUAUUGCACAAUGGGCGGAAGCCUGAUGCAGCAACGCCGCGUGCGGGAUGACGGCCUUCGGGUUGUAAACCGCUUUCGCCUGUGACGAAGCGUGAGUGACGGUAAUGUGUAAAGAAGCACCGGCUAACUACGUG